rnacentral:misc_RNA from 1 species
UGCAGCCGCGGUAAUUCCAGCUCCAAUAGCGUAUAUUAAAGUUGUUGCAGUUAAAAAGCUCGUAGUUGAAUUUCGGGGUUAGUAGGUUGGUCAUGCCUCUGGUAUGUACUGGUCUCACUGAUUCCUCCUUCCUGAUGAACCUUAAUGCCAUUAAUUUGGUGUUUUGGGGAAUUUGGACUGUUACUUUGAAAAAUUAGAGUGUUUAAAGCAAGCUAACGCUUGAAUACAUUAGCAUGGAAUAAUGAAAUAGGACGUUCGAUCCUAUUUUGUUGGUUUCUAGGAUUGACGUAAUGAUUAAUAGGGAUAGUUGGGGGCAUUAGUAUUCAAUUGUCAGAGGUGAAAUUCUUGGAUUUAUUGAAGACUAACUACUGCGAAAGCAUUUGCCAAGGAUGUUUUCAUUAAUCAAGAACGAAAGUUAGGGGAUCGAAGACGAUCAGAUACCGUCGUAGUCUUAACCAUAAACUAUGCCGACUAGGGAUCGGAUGAUGUUAAUUUUUUAAUGACUCAUUCGGCGCCUUAC